rnacentral:rRNA from 1 species
UACGUAGGGGGCGAGCGUUGUCCGGAAUUAUUGGGCGUAAAGCGCGCGCAGGCGGCUGUUUGAGUCUGGUGUUUAAUCCUGGGGCUCAACCCCGGGUCGCACUGGAAACUGGACGGCUUGAGUGCAGAAGAGGAGAGUGGAAUUCCACGUGUAGCGGUGAAAUGCGUAGAGAUGUGGAGGAACACCAGUGGCGAAGGCGACUCUCUGGGCUGUAACUGACGCUGAGGCGCGAAAGCGUGGGGAGCAAACAGG